rnacentral:ncRNA from 2 species
AAAGUCCUGCAGAUUCAAUAUAUUGCAGGUACUGCGUAGGCCU